AAAGGUAAGCUACUAAGAGCGAAUGGUGGAUGCCUUGACUGGUAAAGGCGAUGAAGGACGUACUAGACUGCGAUAAGCUACGGGGAGCUGUCAAGAAGCUUUGAUCCGUAGAUUUCCGAAUGGGGCAACCCAAUGUAUAGAGAUAUACAUUACCUAUAUAGGAGCGAACGAGGGGAAUUGAAACAUCUUAGUACCCUCAGGAAAAGAAAUCAAUAGAGAUUGCGUCAGUAGCGGCGAGCGAAAGCGCAAGAGGGCAAACCCAGUGCUUGCACUGGGGGUUGUAGGACUGCAAUGUGCAAGAGGUGAGUUUAGCAGAACAUUCUGGAAAGUAUAGCCAUAGAGGGUGAUAGUCCCGUAUGCGAAAAACAAACCUUAGCUAGCAGUAUCCUGAGUAGGGCGGGACACGAGA
rnacentral:rRNA from 1 species